rnacentral:piRNA from 1 species
UGCACUGAGAAGUGUGAGUGUGACCAGU